rnacentral:rRNA from 1 species
GUGGGGAAUUUUGCACAAUGGGCGGAAGCCUGAUGCAGCGACGCCGCGUGGAGGACGAAGGCCUUCGGGUUGUAAACUCCUUUUAUCGGGGAAGAUAAUGACGGUACCCGAUGAAUAAGCCACGGCUAACUCUGUGCCAGCAGCCGCGGUAAGACAGAGGUGGCAAGCGUUGUUCGGAAUUACUGGGCUUAAAGGGCGCGUAGGCGGUGGGACAAGUCUGAGGUGGAAUUCUAGAGCUUAACUGUAGGAUUGCCUUGGAAACUGUUUCACUUGAGUCGGACAGGGGAAGGCGGAAUUCCUGGUGUAGCGGUGAAAUGCGUAGAUAUCAGGAGGAAGGCCUGUGGCGAAGGCGGCCUUCUGGGUCUUGACUGACGCUGAGGCGCGAAAGCGUGGGGAGCAAACAGGAUUAGAAACCCGGGUAGUCC